CCUACGGGAGGCAGCAGUGAGGAAUAUUGGUCAAUGGACGAGAGUCUGAACCAGCCAAGUAGCGUGAAGGAUGACUGCCCUAUGGGUUGUAAACUUCUUUUAUAUGGGAAUAAAAUGUUCCACGUGUGGGAUUUUGUAUGUACCAUAUGAAUAAGGAUCGGCUAACUCCGUGCCAGCAGCCGCGGUAAUACGGAGGGUCCGAGCGUUAUCCGGAUUUAUUGGGUUUAAAGGGAGCGUAGUUGGACUGUUAAGUCAGUUGUGAAAGUUUGCGGCUCAACCGUAAAAUUGCAGUUGAAACUGGCAGUCUUGAGUACAGUAGAGGUGGGCGGAAUUCGUGGUGUAGCGGUGAAAUGCUUAGAUAUAACGAAGAACUCCGAUUGCGAAGGCAGCUCACUGGACUGCAACUGACACUGAGGCUCGAAAGUGUGGGUAGCAAACAGGAUUAGAGACCCCUGUAGUC
rnacentral:rRNA from 1 species